GGGAUUACAGGCGUGAGCCACCAUGCCCAGCUGAUAGCUACUAGAAUUCUAAGUGGAGGUAUGAAGUAGGCAGUUUUGGGGAGAGAGGCUGGGUCUGGAGAUGUACGUGUGGGAGCUGUUAGCAGAGAAAUGGUAUUUAAAGUCUGGGUGGGGUGACUUAGGAAUGGACACAGAGCUGACUGAGCAGUCACACCCCGUUUCCCCACGAAGACCUCAGCCCAAGGCAACCACUAAUCUAUUUUCUGUCUUAAUGUUGGACACUCCAACAUUAAGGGAUGCGUAAGAAGAAGUGGAGGGGGAACCAGCAAAGGAGAUGGAGAAGUCAUGAGCAGUAAGAUAGGAUGAUUACCAAGGAGUAUAUGUCCUGGGAACCAAGUGAAAACAGUACAGCAAGUUGGGAGGGGGUGAUUGCACCAGAUGUUGCUGCCACUGGGUCAGAUAAUUAGGAAACCAAGAAUCGACUAUUGAAAGCUGGAUGCAAUGGUGCUUGUCUAUAAUUCCAGCCACUCAGGAGACUGAGAUGCAAGGAUGGCAUGAGCCCAGGAGUUCGAGGCUGCAGAGAACAAUGAUCGCUCCUGUGAAUAGCUGCUGCAUUCCAGUCUGGGCAACAUAGCCAGACCAGACCCUGUCUCUUAAAAAAACAAAAAUUGGGCUAUUGGAUUUAGCCACGUGGGGGUCAUGGGUGACCUUGACAAGAGCAGAUUUGGUAGAAGCAUGGAAUGGAUUUUUCCUAAUAUUCCUCCUCUUCAGGGGCAGACAAUAUUUAAAUGAAACCGUAUUUGGAGCACUCAUCAGGCUUUAAUAUUGAUGCUGCAUCUUCUACUGUCACAUACAUAAAGGGGACCAGGACCACUGCAUUACAGAUGUGACUAUUUCUACCUUAUAUAUGUAUGCCCUAUAUGUGUAUAUACUUUAUGUGUCUAUAUCAGCUUUAUUGAGAUAUAAUUUACAUCUCAUACAGUUCACCUAUUUAAAGUAUACAGUUCAAUGAAUUUAAUGGUUUUUAGUCUAUUCAGUGUUAUGCAACCAUCACCAUGAUUAAUUUUAUUUCUAUCACUGUUUCUUCAGCCCCAAAAGAAACCCUGUUCCCAUUAGCAGUCACUCCUCCUUUUCCCCCAAAACCCUCAGUCCUAGGCAACCACUAGUCUACUUUCUGUCUUUCUAUAUUUGCCGAUUCUGGACUCUUCAUAUACAUGGAAUCAUACGAUACGUGGUCUUUUGUGACUGGCUUCUUUCACUUAGUAUAAUGUUUUCAAGCUUCAUCCAAGCUGUAGCAUGUGGCAGUACUUCAUUCCUUUUUAGGGCCAAAUAAUAUUCCACUGUAUGUACUAAUAUAUACCACAUUUUAUUUAUUCAUUGAUUAGUUGUUGGAAAUUUAGGUUGUUUCUACUUUUUAGCUAUUAUGAAUAAUGCUGCUAUGAACAUUUCUGUACACAUUGUUGUAUGGGUAUAUUUCUUCUGGGGUUAUACUUAGGAAUGGAAUUAGAAUGCAGUAGCAUGAUCUCAGCUCACUGCAACCUCCACCUCCCGGGUUCAAGUUGUUCUUGUGCCUCAGCCCCCCAAGUAGCUGGGAUCACAGGCACUGUGCCUCCACGCCUGGCUAAUUUUUUGUAUUUUUAGUAGAGAUAGAGUUUCAUUAUGUUGGCCAUGCUGGUCUCGAACUCCUACCCUCAGGUGAUCUGCCCGCCUCGGCCUCCCAUGGUGCUGGGAUUACAGGCGUGAGCCACCACCCCUGGCCACAGACUGGCUUCCUUCCUUCCCUCCGUCCGUCCUUCCUUCCUUCCUUCCUUCCUUCCUUCCUUCCUUCCUUCCUUCCUUCCUUUCCUCCCUUUCUUUUUCUUUUUCUAUUUCUCUUUCUCUCUCUCUUUCUUCCCUCCUCUCCCCUCCCCUCCUGUCCUCUUCUCUCUUUCUGACAGAGUUUCACUCUUGUCACCCAGGCUGGAGUGCAAUGGCGCAAUCUCGGCUCACUGCAGCCUCCACCUCAUUUGUUCUCAUGUCUUAGCCACUCGAGUAGCUGGGAUUACAGGCACCUGCCACCAGGCCUGGCUAAUUGUUUUUUUAGUAGAGACAGGAUUUCGCCAUGUUGGCCAGGCUGGUCUCAAACUCCUGACCUCAAGUCACCUCAGCCUCCCAAAGUGCUGGGAUUACAGGCAUGAGCCACCACACCCAGCCUUCUUCAUUCUUUUUUUUUUUGAGGUGGAGUUUUGCUCUUGUUGCCCAGGCUGGAGUGCAAUGGCACAAUCUCGACUUACUGCAACCUGCACCUCCCAGGUUCAAGCGAUUCUCCUGCCUCAGCCUCCCGAGUAGCUGGCAUUACAGGCAUGCCCCACCACUGGGUGAAAAAUGCCCAGCUAAUUUUGUAUUUUUAGUAGAGAUGGGGUUUCUCCAUGUUGGUCAGGCUGGUCUCGAACUCUCGACCUCAGGUGAUCUGCCCACCUCAGCCUCCCAGAGUGCUGGGAUUACAGGCAUGAGCCACUGCGCUCGGCCCAUCAUUCUUAAUAAUAUUCCCAAAUGGUGUAUAGAUAAAUACUGCCACAAUUUCAGGACUAGAGGUUAAAAAAAAAAAAAGGACAAAGUUGGACAGUAGAGCUGAGAGCACAAAUUGUCCCCUUUUUUUCCCAGGUCCUUAGGUUCGUAGACCUGUGUCAGCCAUAAUUACUGCUGAAUGUGACUCCUGUGUAUACGGUCAUUUUUAUUUUUUCUGUUCCUGGAGGUAAUGCAAUAAGUCACCUCAAAAAGGGCAGAGAAUGAGGGAGAGAAUCUACCUGCAUUGGCGUAUUGAAAAGAUCAGAUUAUUUCAGAAUCCAGAUCAUUGUUUACUUUUAGCUGCAUAAAAAUAUCCAAGUAGAUUUUCUUAUAACCUCUCCAAGAUAAAGAUGCCAGAAACGGCAGCCAAAUACAUUGACUUUGAGAGAGGAAAAAAAAAAAGCUUGUAAUUGCCGAUCACUCCUUAGAUUUACUUCUGGGGAGCAUCAAUUAAAAAUCUCAAAACACGUGGCUUUUUCAGUAAAAUUAUAUUAAUAUGGAGGAAGAGUUUUUAUUAAAUAUGAGUGCACGUGUGUCUGUGUCUGUGUGUGUUUUAAACGUUUCCAUAAUGAGUUCCCAAGUGCUUUUUUGGCAGUAGUUAUUAAAGCUUGUGUGUUUGCGAUUUAUCUGGCAAAAUGCCUUUAGUGAAGAAAGGAUAUAGUGUUCUCUUGGUUCUUUGCCCAAAGUAAUUUUGGAGAAAUCUGUGACUGUAUUUAGUUCAUGUCAUUCAUUGGAGACAAGUCAUUGUAAUUACAUUUGAUCACAAUCAGUUUACAGUUGUUUUAUCAUGUUUUCAUGCUGAAUAUCUACUCAGACAUCAUAGCAAAAUUUAAUGGCUACUGUUUUAUUUGUACAUAAAAAGAUUUAUAGCCCUUUUUUGCAGUACACAUCGGGUUUCAAUCAUCACUGCUACAGAGUGAGAGGAAAGCUAUGGAUAAAGAACUAUCAGAAAUCCUUGACUACAUAAAAUUUUAUUUCAGGUCACCUUGCCAUAAAAGAUAUUGAAUGUAUUUUGUGGCUUUUCCUCCUGACAUGCUAACCGUUGUAGAAGAGUUGCAAUAUUUGGAGGAAACCGUAUGAAAUGUGGAACUUAAUUCACUUAAGAUGGUUUACAUUUGCGCGUGUUUUCCACUGGAAAUAGCCAUGCCAGCCUUAUGAAUGGCCCCUGGGUAAUGCAGAGUAAAAGGCAAUGGCAUUACCGAUAUUGUUGAGUUUUAAAAGGAAGUUGUCUUCUUAACCAUACGGCUGAACAUUUUGUCAUUGUUGUUUCAGAAGGUCUGCUCUAACAUCUGCACUGCGGCAGAGUUGUGUUACAGGGUGUUAUUUACAGCUGCCAAAUGCUGGAGGCUCUCAUGUAUCAGACAGUCUCUGAUUUGCUAAUUGUGGAAGCCUUGAUUCACCAGUGAAUUUGGGUAAAUUCACUAGUUAUCUCCUAAGUGUCACUUCUCACCAUGCCUUAUUUUUCCCAAAAGGUUGAUUCCAAGCUCUGCUGAAAUCUGCUCUUGGUCUAUAUGUUUGAGUCUACAUUGUUGAAGAAGCUCCCUUUAGAAAAGUGUAAUUAAUGGGAAACUUUGACAUCCAGCUGAGAAAAUUAGUUUGCAUCAAAAAAGGCAAGAUAGAGGAUUAAAGAAAUUUUAGUCCUAAUCUAAUUAACACCAAUUAAAAGAUGCAGAUGAAUUUACACCAACAAAUUGUUAAUUAUGCACCAAUUUGCCUUUUUUCUGCAACCAAACUGAAAUCAGGAAAGUAUUAUUAUCUUUUUUGUUUGAGGAGACUUACAUUGUGGGUUUGUUACAAUCAUCUUUUAUAUAAUUAAAAGGUAGGCAGAAAGAGCGUGAAAUAUUUCAGUCUCCUGACAUUUUAAUUUAGGUUAACUCUUUAAAAAUACAAAGUACAGAAAAAAAAAAUUCCAGAAAGUACAGGAUAAUUCUAUUAGCAUUUAUUCACUGACUAGAUAUUUAUUGAGGACCUAGUAUGUGCUGGACACUUAGGUAACCAUUGUUUCUCUCACUCAAAAUAUUUUAACUUGUUUGUAUUUCUAAUAUAUUGCUCAUUAGAAAAAUUGUAUACGCCAGGCGUGGAGGCUCAUGUCUGUAAUCCCAGCAUUUUGGGAGGCCGAGGCGGGCAGAUCACGAGGUCAGGAGAUUGAGAUCAUCCUGGCUAACACGGUGAAACCCUGUCUCUACUAAAAAUACAAAAAAUUAGCCGGGUGUGGUGGCGGGCGCCUGUGGUCCCAGCUACUUGGGAGGCUGAGGCAGGAGAAUGGCGUGAACCCGGGAGGUGGAGGUUGCAGUAAGCCAAGAUUGCGCCACAGCACUCCAGCCUGGGCGACAGAGCGAGACUCCGACUCAAAAAAAAAAAAAAAGAAAAGAAAAAGAAAAAUAGUAUAAGCUAAUUGUACCAAAAUUGUAUAAGCUAAUUAAAUUCUGCCCUGGAUACAUGUCAGAAAAGGAGAAUCGAAAUUUUGGGCCUCAAGAAAUGCUCUUAAUGUCCCAGAACUCCUCUUUAAUGUGACCUUUUAGGGUAUUCAGCGUCCAUCUUCCUCACCCGGGGAAUCUGUGUUUGUUUCCCAGUGUUACUCAGAUCUCCACUGUGCUGGGACUUUCUUUUUCCUUGUGAAUCACUCUUACAGCUCCUCAGAUGGUGAUCUGAGUAAUUAUGUAGAGGGUGGUGAAGCACAGACCUUUUAGAUCUGCAAAUGACACAUCUGUCCAAAUGUCAUGUAAUGAGUAACCACAAUCCACUUUAUAUAAGCCAUAUUUCUUCUCUUUCCAAAAUGGGAAGGAGAGGGUGGGGGGGGAAAUGUCUGGUAGAAAUGGGAAGAAAAGCAUUUCUAUGGAUUCCUCUAGCCAUUAAUUACAUAGAAAAUGCCACAGCUGCCCUCAGAUUUCCAGGUGCACGUUAUUAAACGUCAUUCAAAGGAAAUGUUUGGCCAACUAGAUCCUGAUGUGAGAAACAGCAUCCUAAAGAGCUAUGUAUGUUACUGUCUAAUGCAUGUACUUAGGCAUUAAAUAAUAUUAAAUGACCAUAUUACCUUCUUGGGGCAAUAGUUAAUAUAAACAUUUAGGAUGCUCAGUUUGUACUUUUCAGUAUUUGUGCUGGAAACUUUUGCAUUCACAACUUUGAAAACUGGCUCGUGUUUUCAUGGGAAGUGUCAGUUUAAAGUUGGCCUACUAAUUAAUGGGGGAAUUUCAAUAUGGCAGUGCCUAUGACAGCAAAUGAAAAGCAUUCUUUAUAAACAUCGUCUUCCUCCACACAUUCACAGGUUAGUAUCUGACACCCAUUUUUAAUUUCUAGAGCACCAUUUGUACUUCUCUGUGGUUUUGCCUGCAAGUCUUCGAUGAUGCAGUCCACCCUUCCAUAAAAACGUACUCCAAUUUUCCUAGAUUCUACUUUCAUUGUUUUGUGAAUCAAGUUAGAAGGUACAUAACUUAGCCUGAUGAGAUGGCAUUCAUAAGGUUAGGAUAGCAGAGUUGCCUAACUAAUCUUCCUGUUGCAAUGAAAUAAAAGAAUGAUAUCUAAGUUGACCAACCUUGUAAAAGGUAAUUUUACAAGAGGCCUCCAAAAAUAACGGACUAGGACUGGCCAGAGAAGAAAAUAAACCCCUCAUCCUCAAUCCAGAACCCAGAGUUUGUCAUCACUAGUCGAAAAGCUUGUUUGUUUUAUACCUAAGUGAGACCUUGAGUUAUCCAAUGUGCUUCCAUCACAGAAUGGCCCACCAGGGUAGAAGGAUUCUGAGUGUAUUCCCUGAUGCUGUUGCCAUGUGCCUAUGGAAUACCUAUGCUCCAUAUUUAGCCCUCUUUCUGUGUAGUAGCAGAGACGUGGAUGGCUGCUGAAACUAAGGGCCCAGUCUUUGGCCUUAGGACAGACCACUGGGUUUCUCCCACUGCCUAAAACCUUAGUAGCAUUAGCAUCAGACAUGGACCCAAUAAACAAACUACCUAGUUGAUAAGCGCCGCAUUUUUCAUGAUGUUUUACUGUGGCCUAUCCACACACUCUUUCCUAUUCCAUGAAAGGAAGAAAAAGAUAAUUUGAGUUGUCCUAUAAAUUAAAAUUUUUCCUUUGUGAUUAUUUUGGACCAGCGCCAUAACAUUCAGAAGAUUAUGAGUGGAGUCUUUAGUCUGUGAACAAAGUCCUAAGAAGGAAGUAGUGCUGUAACUUACUUCAUCUAAAGAAGCAUCAUCGCUGAAUGUAAAGAGUGAUUCUGGAUUGGAUCUUAAGCCGGAAAAAUAAAUGGAGAUAAAUGUACAAACUUGGCAUUACUCUUUAAGAAUAACAAGUGAACUGGAAAUGAGAGGGUGGUGACAUGAAGAGAGAGAGAAGAAAUACAUUCCUUAUAUCUCUUCCAGCUCCUGCAUGGAAUGGAGGAUCUGACAGUGGCCGUUCCUGGGUAUUAAAGCCAGUGCAAAAGAUAGAGCGUCCAAAAGGCAACUUCUUCCUUAUUUGUGAAGUCAGAAAGUAAAAUUUACAUUGAAGUGCUAAGCUACAUUAUUCUGAAUAUUUUGGCAGUCAUAUUUGGGCAGAUGAGUUGCUUUCCUGAAAUUACUCAGCACCGUCAUUCAUCCUGACAAAAGCUAGUGGUACAGAUGCACCUUUGGGACUGAGGCCAAGGUGAAACCUGCGUUUUCCAGGUCUGCCCACUCAGUUUUGGAAGGACUCUCAAUAAAACCGGCCUCACACCCCAAGCAUCACCCCUCCUGUCCUUAGUAAGUACACUCUGGCUGGAAUCUAGGGUCCCAGCAUCUAGCCCUUGGGACUUCACAUAAAUUCAUCAAGUAUCUUCCUCCACUCAAAAAUCUCUUACAGAAUCUUUGACAUUUUAAGCUUCAUUACUGCAAAGUGGAUAUAGUUCAUUCUCAGCUUCAGGAUUCCAGAAGCAUACAUACCAGGUCAGAAUGGAGAGGCAUCACGCUUUCCUUCAGCAAGCUUCAGGGGAGACAGGAUUUAGGGUGGGCUACACAUAUACCAGUUGUAGGAUGUUUUGAACUAUAUUCUUGCAAUCACAGACAGGUUGUCCCAGAGAAAAUAAUCUGGCUCUAACUUCUCUUGUUAUCAGUGAAAAGCAAAAAUUACUUAGUGCAGGUAUGCUUAAAGGAAGAAAAAGGCAAGAGAAAAGUGAGAGGUAAAAAUUAUUACCAUUUUAAUUCCAUGAUUCUCAGCAAUGAAGGAGCAUGAUUGAAAUCCCAUGUGCCCAGUCAUAUCUGUAAAUGAGAGUAUGAUUUUUGAAGACUGUAUUCAAUUGUUUCAACUUGAGCAAUUGCAAGUAAGACUUAGGACUGUGUUUACCAGUUACUGUUAUUUACUAUUACUUUCUAAAUGUGACCUGACUUGAAACCUUUAUAGAUGCAAUUUUUAUCCAUCACAGAACAAGCUCUAAAGAGGAGAGCAGCUUCAACUUUUUCAAGUAUUUUUUUUAAAAGGAUUUAACUUUGACCAACACCAAACUUGCAUCUUGUUAAGGUAACUAAUAACUGACUGCUAUAACAAUAUUUAGAAUUUUGUUUAACAGCAACUGUCAAAAAAACAAGUUAAAAUAGCCCAGGAGAUGGAUGGCGAUUAACUCUGCGUUCUUUUUAGACUGUGUUAUUAAUUAGCUCUCUAGACUCAAAUAGGUUACAUCCUCUGAGCAGUAAAUUGCAUGCCAUUUGCAAGCUCUGUGGAUGAAAUUUACAUGUGGCCUAAAUGCUAUCCACAUUGUUUUGUUAAGUAGCAUUUUAUCUCUCUGGACUGGUCCCUUGCCUCCUCCCCCAGCCCCAGUGGAAAGUUUUAUUCACUUUUCUUGCGGGAAGGGAAAGUCGCAUGUAGUUUGGUCAUUUGGCGCCAUCUUCUUUUUUAUUGUUAAAUCCACUAAAGGCAGUCAUGCCUGGCAGUACCAGGCGGGCUCCUUCCGGGGUUCUGGUCGGCUAAGCAUUCAGAGUUCUUUGCUUUUUAUUUACUAGAAAUGUUUUCAGCUUCUGUCUUUGCUUUAAGAUCUGAUUAAAAGGAACCUUAAAAAAGGAA